rnacentral:rRNA from 1 species
CGCUGGCGGCGUGCCUAAUACAUGCAAGUCGAACGGUCUUUCUAUGGAAGCUUGCUUCCGCUGAGAAGAUAGUGGCGAACGGGUGAGUAACACGUGGGUAACCUGCCCAUAAGAGGGGGAUAACAUCCGGAAACGGGUGCUAAUACCGCAUAGUUUUCUUGAUCGCAUGAUCGGGAAAGGAAAGACGGCCUUUGUGCUGUCGCUUAUGGAUGGACCCGCGGCGUAUUAGUUAGUUGGUGAGGUAACGGCUCACCAAGACGAUGAUACGUAGCCGACCUGAGAGGGUGAUCGGCCACAUUGGGACUGAGACACGGCCCAAACUCCUACGGGAGGCAGCAGUAGGGAAUCUUCCGCAAUGGACGAAAGUCUGACGGAGCAACGCCGCGUGAGUGAAGAAGGUUUUCGGAAUCGUAAAACUCUGUUGUCAGAGAAGAACAAGUUGGAGAGUAACUGCUCCAGCCUUGACGGUAUCUGACCAGAAAGCCACGGCUAACUACGUGCCAGCAGCAGC